rnacentral:rRNA from 1 species
CCUACGGGGGGCUGCAGUGGGGAAUAUUGGACAAUGGGGGCAACCCUGAUCCAGCCAUGCCGCGUGUGUGAAGAAGGCCCUCGGGUUGUAAAGCACUUUCAGUGAGGAAGAACGCCUGGUGGUUAAUACCCAUCAGGAAAGACAUCACUCACAGAAGAAGCACCGGCUAACUCCGUGCCAGCAGCCGCGGUAAUACGGAGGGUGCGAGCGUUAAUCGGAAUUACUGGGCGUAAAGCGCGCGUAGGUGGCUUGAUAAGCCGGUUGUGAAAGCCCCGGGCUCAACCUGGGAACGGCAUCCGGAACUGCCAAGCUAGAGUGCAGGAGAGGAAGGUAGAAUUCCCGGUGUAGCGGUGAAAUGCGUAGAGAUCGGGAGGAAUACCAGUGGCGAAGGCGGCCUUCUGGACUGACACUGACACUGAGGUGCGAAAGCGUGGGUAGCAAACAGGAUUAGAUACCCUAGUAGUC